AACCACGCACACAUCGGAUCAGUCAUAUAAACAAACACCUCGGCGUCGGAGUUGAUCGAGUGGUGUUCCGCACAAACAGCGAUCAAGAGAAUCAUGAAGCAGCGGGAGAACAUGAACACACGGUAAAAAUGCAAAGAAGGAAACAGAGAGCUUCGGCGAUCAUUACCCACGACGCUCGAUCUCCCGGUGCCGAUCGUCAUCCCUCCUCACCAACACCACGAAUGUGGAGGGAGACGGAGGUGUGCGGUGGGAGUAGCACUAAAGAACGAGAGGUGGCAGUUGGGCACUGCUUGAUAUCCGAUCCAACGGUUCUUGUUCGCCGUCCGGACCCCACGGCCGAGAUUCCUCGCCUGUCCUUCUAGAUCUUGCUCGUCCGUCGAGGAUCGGACGGUUCGCGUAAAAUUUACGCGAACAUUUGCGCCUGGUGCUGUCCAUUUCUUUUAUCUUUUCUUCCUUUCUUUUUUCCCUAUUUGUGAUGCCCAGGUCCCACCAACGGAGAUUGUGAGGGAUUUGAAGGAGGUCGGUGAUCGUUCUUGGUUGCUCGAGGUACCUUUUUCGGAUUCGAAUUCUGUUUGCAGUUAGAAGGCGAAAUGUAUUCUGGUCUAAACUCAUCUGAUGAUGAUGAUGACGUUGGUGGGUUCUUUUUUUUUUGCUACUAUUAGGGUUUCGCGUCUGCAAUUUUUACUCGAUUUGGAUUUUUGUUUUUUGAUUCGAAUUUUGUUUCCAGUUAGAAGGCGAAUUGUAUUCUGGUCUCAACUCAUCUGAUGAUGGUGAUGAUGUUGGUGGGUUCUUUUCUUGCUACUUUUAGGGUUUCAGUCUGCAAUGUUUACUCGAUUUGGAUUUUUUUUUUUUCGAUUCGAAUUCUGUUUCCAGUUAGAAGGCGAAAUGUAUUCUGGUCUCAAUUCAUCUGAUGAUGAUGAUGAUGAUGAUGUUGGUGGGUUCUUUUGUAGCUACUUUUAGGGUUUCACUUCUCCAAUUUUUACUCGAUUUGGAUUUUUUUGCGAUUCGAAUUCUGUUUCCAGAUAGAAGGCGAAAUGUAUUCUGGUCUCAAUUCAUCUGAUGGCGAUGAUGAUGUUGCUGGGUUCUUUUGUAGCUACUUUUAGGGUUCUUUUGAGCAGUUGGUUUUUUUUCCUUCGAUAUCGAAACUCUCUGUCAAUCAUAUGUUAGGUUAUGAUAAAAUGGGGUUAAAAUGGAGAAGUAGAAUCAAGAUUGAUGAUUUCAUAUUUCAUGUUGGCAUUGGAUCAUAUAGGCUGCCUUCGCGUCACGUGUGUUGACAAACGAGGCAUCACAAGUCCACAACUGACGAUAGGUUUUUGUCAUGUCUAAAUCCAAAUAAACAGUAUUGAUGAAUCUGUGUUCUUUUAAAUUCGGCUUUCAGUUCUCCGCACAAUGUGAUUGUCUCCAACCAGCAUGGCAUGAGUAUACAUACUGGUAACAAUUUGAUGAUGCAGGGCAGCAUAUAUUCUUGCUUCUGUUUGUCAUGCAUAGCACAGACUAGGGUUGAAGAGCCACUUGAAAUAAUUUGUCGUAAAUGUUGUGCAAUCCCUGAGGUCAUUUUCUUAGUCUGGUGGAUGUUAGAAAUCCAUUAGUACUCGUCUACGUACUUUCUCCUUCCAUUCCUCUGUAAAGUUUUCUUUUUGUAAUUUUGUAGCAUUGACCUUUUAUUACAAGUGCUUGGGAAAUUAAGUGAAUCUUUCUUCCAUCCGAUUUUGUUAGAUGCUUCCUCUUUUUUAUUGUUUCGAGUUCUCUAUAACCUGUAUUCAAUGUAUAUCGACACACACCCCUGCUUUAGAAGCCCUGAACCUAACUUUGACUAUGACGACAGGUCAUAGGCAACUCCAGAAUAUGGGCCUUUUAAUUUGUUAUCCUAGUUUUUUUUUUUCAAUUGGUGGUCCAUGUCUUCAAGGGAAUCCAGAGAUUGAAGUAAUUUGGACAAAAUUAAUGCCAAAUACCACCUACUGUAAUGACAAAUAUUAAUUUUGGACAACAAUUAAUUGACUUUUCCAUUCAUCAAAUGAAUGGCAAACAUCUAUGGCUGCCACGACAACUUUUAGCUGUCCCUUCCAAUGAUCAUUACGGCCCAUGCAUUUCCUACCAAUGAUACAUCAAAAAUGCUUGUCAUGCAUUGUGCUUGUGUGCCCGAGAUUUGAUGCACUGCAUCAAUUUUGUUUUAUAGUAGAUAUUUUCUUUAGGACAAACAUAAGGGAUCCGCAAUGAGUACCUUGAUCAGUGUUUAUAGAACAAUAGCCUUGUCGUGUCCAUUUUUGCCUGAAAAAUAUAUAUUAGUUACUUAUAAAGAAUACUUGUACUUGUUUUCUUCUCUAUGUAUAUUGUGAUGCAGAUGAAAGAAUGCUAAUAGACUAUACCUUAUUCUCGGAAUACGUAUCAAUUGCAAGUGGCAAUGUAACCCUUUAUUUGUUUAGGUACUCUCUUUUCUAUCGUCGAUUGUUUUGGGAUAUUUAAUAUGGCAUUUUUUUUGGCCUACUUGUAAAAGAUAAAGGAAGACUUCAUUGGGAUCCAUUUCAACUCAACUAUUAAUUAAAUAUACACAUCACGACCAACUUGUAUAGCUAACAGUUGACAUGCAUUACAAGCAUUCGCUAAUCUGCCAUCAUCUAGUGUCUACCUGACAGCUCCUCUAGAGCAGCUUAUCUUCAUUGCAAUGUUGCACUCUUGAAUGUUAUUUAUCCACCUUCUGUAGACCUAAUAAAACAUUUGCUGAUAUGAAUGCUCUGACAUGGCCCUUUGUGGACAUGCAAUUAAAGAAAGUAGUUGGUGUUUCACUUGUUUGUGUGACAAGGUGUUGUAUAUAAUGCUUUCACAUGGUGCUUUAAAAUCCAUUGUGACUGGAAGAAUCAGCUGUUUUGGAAAUCUUCCUUCUUUUGUUUCAAAUAACUCUGCAGUUAUGCAUGUGGGUUUUUAACGUUGUUGAUCUGUUGUUGAGAAGAAGGGGUUGAUGAAAGAUGAAGAAGAAACGAUAGUUUGGUGACAAUGAUGGAGCACGUUUUAAGAUGAGGAUGCCUUCUACGUGGAGGAGCUGAUCAUGGAUGUUCUGAUUUUGAUUUCAAGCAAAUCAACCAUUCAUAUCAACAUGAACUCCAACACUAGUGACGACUUUCUUGAUGACUGAGCAGGAGAAGGUGCCCUUGUCUGACAAUCUAUUGAUAUCAUGGCCAAGCGACAUCUAUCUAAUCAGAAGCUGGCGUUUGCAGCUGGAGAAUUAGAUGGUCUUCUUAAUUUCCCCAUCACCCUCCAUGAUGUCAUGCUGGAGCAAUUUUAAUAUGCAGCAUUCACAAAACCCACCAAUAUAAAUGGUUCUGACUUGGGGCUAAUGACUUUGUGAUGAGUUCGGAGUUCAGCACACAGCACAAGGCUGUGCAUGUGCUCAUCUUUAUUUCUGGUCAGGUUCAUGAGGGGGACUUGAAACACACCCACCAGGGAAGACAAGAAAUUUAACAAAGCAUUGAUUGACUGAAAGCUGGAAAGCUUAAUGGAUUCAUUAUUCUCCAGCUUGGAGAGAUCUAGUCUCAGAGCUCUUCAAUGUACAGAUUCCAGCUCUGGAUGGGGAGUGGUGGUCAAAGCAUAUGUCCAGAGAUUAAAAACAACUCCCCUACUUCUCAUUCCCUAUGUUGCCACUGUGGACUUAUUUGACAAACGCAGCAUGGCUUCUCUUUUUUCUUAAAGGUUAGGAAUGAUGUUUGCAAGAUUAGCAUUUGGAGCACAAGAGAUUGAUGAAAUGAGGAGAUCGAUGGAUUGUGUUUGAGCAGAGUCAUGUACAAGACGAUCUCAAGCUUAACUCAAGUGUUAUCAUGAGUUAUGAUGGUUUCAACUUUGCUCACUCCUGGGGACACAGGAAGGAUCAGCAUCUGGAGAAACAGAGGAUUAGAAACAGCGGGGUGACAUUGUCACAGUCCAACUCACUUCCUGCAGGAUCAUGGAGUUUUAUGUUGAAGAAGGACUAGAGUCGGUGAGCUUAUACAAUUAACGUAAUUAUACAUAAUUUAGGACAAACAAAAAAACAGAGGGUUAAUGAGAAAUGAUGGAGGUGCCAUAAUGUCCGACACUUGGUCUCUACCGGUGAAGGAUUCAGAACUUAAUUCAAGUGAGGAUGUGAGCUUGCAA